rnacentral:tRNA from 1 species
GGGCGUGUAGCUCAGUUGGUAGAGCACUUGAAUUUUAAUCAAGUUGUACGGGGUUCGAAUCCCCGCACGCUCA